rnacentral:tRNA from 1 species
CGGGUUAUAGAGGAUUUUAUCAGCGGUCUCCAAAACCGCGUGCCCAAGGUUCGAGUCCUUGUACCCCUGCCA